rnacentral:tRNA from 2 species
CAUUAAGUGGCUGAAAGCAAGCAAUGAUCUCUUAAAUCAUUUUAUAAUAUAUUAGCAAAUAUUCUUAAUGA